UAUAGGUGGGAGCUACACACGUCAUACAAUGGCCGGUACAAAGGGCAGCCAACCCGCGAGGGGGAGCCAAUCCCAUAAAGCCGGUCGUAGUCCGGAUCGCAGUCUGCAACUCGACUGCGUGAAGUCGGAAUCGCUAGUAAUCGUGGAUCAGCAUGUCACGGUGAAUACGUUCCCGGGUCUUGUACACACCGCCCGUCACACCAUGGGAGCGGGUCUCGCCAGAAGUAGUUAGCCUAACCGCAAGGAGGGCGAUUACCACGGCGGGGUUCGUGACUGGGGUGAAGUCGUAACAAGGUAACCAAUC
rnacentral:rRNA from 1 species